GCCAUAAUCAAAAGAGUCCACUAGGGGCACCAGUGCGCUCUUCUCUACACUCAAUACAAGAGUAAGUGAAAGCGCACUGAUUUCAUCUUGUGAUCAUUUCUUCGCUUACAUUUUUCCUUUUAUAAGAUUGACAACUGCUCCAGGGUGUGCCUUUCCUCUAACCCCAUGACUGCUGGAGAUCGCAACCAGUCCCCCUUGUGACCCAGCAAGGAAAAGCAGAGACUGGGGAGGGAGACGAACCUGCCACAAACUGCAUGCGCUCACGCUGGAUACGGAGAAAUCUAUGGACUGACACAGCUCAGGAGAGUCAGACCACGGGGAAGGGGGAGGUUUGUGAUGUGGUUAGGUCAGGUUUACAGAGCCUGUUACUUUGCUACAGGCAAGAUACCCAGAGGUAAACUUUGGCACAUUUACAGCAUUGGCUUUAAGGGUAAUGAGAGCCAUCAAACUGUACUGUGUAAAGCAGAAACUGUACAGUUUGACAAAAUGUCCUAGAAUCACUUGAUAAAUAAA